rnacentral:rRNA from 1 species
UACGUAGGGUGCAAGCGUUGUCCGGAAUUAUUGGGCGUAAAGAGCUCGUAGGCGGUUUGUCGCGUCGGCUGUGAAAUCCCGAGGCUCAACCUCGGGCCUGCAGUCGAUACGGGCAAACUAGAGUGUGGUAGGGGAGACUGGAAUUCCUGGUGUAGCGGUGAAAUGCGCAGAUAUCAGGAGGAACACCGAUGGCGAAGGCAGAUCUCUGGGCCGUAACUGACGCUGAGGAGCGAAAGUGUGGGGAGCGAACCGG